GAGUCUAGAGGACCUAGUCCUCGGCGUACCGCUAAGUAACACGUGGGUAACCUACCCUAUGCUGGGGGAUAAGCUCGGGAAACUGAGAAUAAUACCCCAUAGUCCACUACGCCUGGAACGGUGAGUGGAUGAAAGCCCCGGCGGCACAGGAUGGGCCUGCGGCGUAUCAGGUAGUAGGGAGUGUAAAGUACCCUCUAGCCUUCGACGCGUACGGGUUGUGAGAGCAAUAGCCCGGAGAUGGAUUCUGAGACACGAAUCCAGGUCCUACGGGACGCAGCAGUCGCGAAACCUUGACAAUGCGGGAAACCGUGAUCAGGGGACUCCAAGUGCCAGGAGUAAGAUCCUGUGCUUUUCUUCUCUCUUCAAAGGAUUAGGAAUAAGAGGUGGGUAAGGACGGUGCCAGCCGCCGCGGUAAUACCGGCGCCUCGAGUGGUAGUCGAUUUUAUUGGGCCUAAAACGUCCGUCGCCGGUCUGGUGCAUUCGUGGGUAAAUCAACCCGCUCAACGGGUUGAAUUCUGCGAGCACGGCCAGACUAGGGACCGGGAGAGGUGUGGGGUACGCUCGGGGUAGGGGUAAAAUCCUGUCAUCCCGAGCGGACCACCUGUUGCGAAGGCGCCACACUAGAACGGAUCCGACGGUCAGGGACGAAGCCUAGGGGCACGAACCGGAUUAGAUACCCGGGUAGUCCUAGGUGUAAACGCUGUGGACUUGGUGUUGGGAGCUCCCA
rnacentral:rRNA from 1 species